UAGGCAUAAAAAUAGAACUAAUGCCGAUCCUAUACGGAUAUACACAUACAAUAUGGACUGUAGGCAUUAUGAAGGUAUUCUAAAUCUGUAUAAAUUACAAAUGAAAUUUCAUAAGGAUAAAGAAAUAUAUAAAAAACACAACUAAUCUCAAAGGAUACAAGAUAGCAAGGAAAAGCAAAAACAACAUAAAAUAAAAAUAUAGCAAUAAAAUUGGACAAUGGGAUUGGGAGACUACUUUGUUAGAGCUUAACUCUAAUAGGGUUUUAUACCCGUUUAGUCUCCACAAUGCCCAGAGUCAAAUAUAUUGAAAUAAAAAAGGAAUAAACAAAAAGAAGCAAGAUCAAAAUACCGCAAUAACAUUGGACAAUGGGAUUGGGAGACUACUUUAUUAGAGCUUAACUCUAACAGGGUGCAUACCCGUUUAGUCUCCACAAUGCCCAGAGUCAAUAUAUGAAACAAACAAGGAACCAGCAAAAAGAAACGAGACUUAGCUUAAACAAAAACCAAACAAACAGCCAGAGAUGAUAUCACUUCGAAAUGUACAAGAAAACAGAAAAACAACCAACAAAGUGAAGAAUAUUACAAACUAUAUAAUGAACAAUAUUGAAUUUAAAAUUUAUUUGUUAAAUAUAUUGUUAUGUUAUUGUUAUGAUGAAAAUUAUAUGCAUUUUCAUUUCAGUAAUAAAUAUCGAAAAAACUUUCUCACGAU
rnacentral:lncRNA from 1 species